rnacentral:rRNA from 1 species
UGCGUAGGCGGAAUAUUAAGUCAGUGGUGAAAUCCUGCGGCUCAACCGUAGAACUGCCAUUGAUACUGAUAUUCUUGAAUGUAGUUGAGGUAGGCGGAAUGUGUAAUGUAGCGGUGAAAUGCUUAGAUAUUACACAGAACACCGAUUGCGAAGGCAGCUUACUAAACUAUGAUUGACGCUGAGGCACGAAAGCGUGGGGAGCGAACAGGAUUAGAUACCCUGGUUAGUCC